rnacentral:rRNA from 1 species
AGGACUAACGCUGGCGGCGUGCCUAACACAUGCAAGUCGAACGAGAGUAGCAAUACUCUAGUGGCAGACGGGUGAGUAACACGUGGUCAACCUUCCCUAGCGUGGGGGAUAACUAGCCGAAAGGUUAGCUAAUACCGCAUGACAUCGUCGAGUGGCAUCAUUUGACGAUCAAAGGAGCAAUCCGCGCAAGGACGGGACCGCGUCCCAUUAGCUAGUUGGUGAGGUAACGGCCCACCAAGGCUUCGAUGGGUAGCUGGUUUGAGAGAGCGACCAGCCACACUGGGACUGAGACACGGCCCAGACUCCUACGGGAGGCAGCAGUGAGGAAUUUUCCGCAAUGGGCGAAAGCCUGACGGAGCGACGUCGCGUGUGGGAAGAAGGCCUUCGGGUCGUAAACCACUGUCGAAGGGGAAGAUAUUGACGGUACCCUUGGAGGAAGCCCCGGCUAACUACGCGCCAGCAGCCGC